rnacentral:tRNA from 1 species
CUACGGGGUGGCGGAAUAGGCAGACGCACAGGACUUAAAAUCCUGCGAAGGGUGACCUUCGUACGGGUUCGACCCCCGUCCUCGGC